AUGCAAGUUAGAGUCCAAAACAAGGGCAAAAGUGUUUGGAAAAGUAGAUAUGAUGGAGACGUAUCAGUAGACCAGGCGCGGAAGUUCAUCCCGGCCUGGCAACGAGGUUUGAUUCAGAGGCCAGGAAGACUUGUGUUGGUCAAGUCCGUGAUCUCGGCAAGACCGAUCCACCAACUUCUGGUUCUUGAUGCACCGAACUGGGUCUUCGAGGACAUCGAAAAAUGGAUGCGCGCAUUUUUUUGGGCAGGGAAGGAGAAGGUGAACGGCGGCCAAUGCUUGGUGGCCUGGGAGACAGUGUGCAGGCCAACUUGUUUUGGCGAAUUGGGGGUGAAGUGUUGGAGAACGUAG
rnacentral:rRNA from 1 species